UUUGGGCAAAGUUUGCAUGAAACAGAGCAGGGUUCUGCCCUUCGGGCAAAACCAGGUUCGGCCGCCGAAGGAAGGUUCGGCCGCCGAACCCUUUGUGGAGGCAGUUCGGCUGCCAAAGGUUGCCCCCGAAAGCUAGGCUUUCGGUUUAGAAAGGGACUUUCGGCCGCCGAAAGAGGGAGUUCGGCCGCCGAAAGUGUGUGAGUUUCGUCUCUGGACGAGACCUUCGGCCGCCGAAGGUGCCGCCGAACAUGCAUGAGUUUCGUCUCUGGAGUGGGGUUUCGGCCGCCGAACCUGCCGCCGAAAGUGCCCUGUCCAGCUUCCUUUUGCAUGUUUUAUGUGAUGGUUUGAGGUUUGUUUAGAGGGGUUUUGGGGAGUUUCGUAGAGAUGUUCUUGAGUGAGUUUAGUCCCUCAUUUGAGUCCACCUGUGUAGGAACGGACCAGAGGAAUCAGGGAAGUCAGCAGUGAGUCUAGUGUCAGAACCUGCAGAGUCAGUUCAGAGAUAACCAGGUGAGUGGAAAUUAACUUAAUGUUUUAAUAUGAGAACUGAUAUUUUAUCAUGCUUCAUGCAUCAUGAAUAUGCUUUAGGGUGAGUGCAUUAGUGUACACAAAGAUGAUGCAUUGCAUUUAUCCUUGUACUUGGCACUGCUCCUUGUACAUUGCUUAUGUGAGACGGCACGGACUUCGUGAGGAUUCAUUAGCCCUCAGAGGAAAGACCUGGAACAGCCUUACGAGGACCAGGCAUAAAGACCUGGAACAGCCCUACGGGGACCAGGCAAAUGGUACUUAGGUACCCCAGAUGAGAUAGAGGGAGUUUUGAUCCGUCCGGCCGAGGUUAUGUGAUUAUGUGUUGCAUUCCAUGAGAGCAUGUUUUAUCACCUGUAUUUGCCUAUUCUACUCACUGGGCUAUUGUAGCUCAUCCCUCUCCCCUAACUUCAGUUGUGCAGGUUCAGAGAUCAGAGAGAACUCAGCAGGGUACAGGAAGAGUACAGAGUUUUGUAAUAGCUAGUGUGGACAUGUAUUUGGACAGAGAUAAUGUAUAUGUACAGUGUAUAGAAUGGUGCUUGAUUUAUAAGACUUGUAAUCCCUUGGAGUCACAUGAUCAGUUUAUGUAUGUUUCUUUAUUGUUGUAUGUUUAUGAGUAAAACCAGGCUUAACAUUAUGAGCUUGAUCCGCCUAGAGCCAUGAGGAGCUCUAGUAGGGAUUAGUAGAGCACAGAGAGAGUGCAUGCACAGGUUAAGCCUUGGACUAAAGAAAAGUUUUAUGGUUUUACAGAAAAUGUAUGAUCAUGUAUGGGAGUUCACAGGUCUACAGACAGGAUAGCAGGCUUACUACGGGUCCCGGCGACCUUAAGUCGAUCUGGAUCCUAGUGCCGGUGGCAGUUCGGUUUCCGGGCUGUUACAGA
rnacentral:lncRNA from 1 species